rnacentral:lncRNA from 1 species
CCAGGUUCAAGCGAUUCUCCUGCCUCAGCCUCCCAAGUAGCUGGGACCACAAGCGUGCACCACCACACCUGGCUAAUUUUUGUAUUUUUAGUAGAGACAGGGUUUCACCAUAUUGGUCAGGCUGGUCUUGAACUCCUGACCUCGUGAUCCACCCACCUCAGGAAGUGCUGGGAUUACAGGCGUGUGAGCCACCACGCCCGGCCAUGAAAUAUUUUUACUUAAAAAUUGGGAAUAAGCUUUUUGGUUUUUUGUGGGUUUUUGUUUUUGUUUUUUGUUUUUUGUUUUUUUGAGAUGGAGUCUUGCUCCUGUUGUGCAGGCUGGAGUGCAGUGGCACAGUCUUGGCUCACUGCAACCUCCACCUCCUGGGUUCAAGCAAUUCUCCUUCUUCAGCCUCCCGAGUAGCUGGGAUUACAGGCAUGCACCACCACACCUGGCUAAUUUUUGUGUUUUUAGUAGAGACGGGGUUUCGCUAUUUUGGCCGGGCUGGUUUCAAACUCCUGACCUCAGUUGAUCCACCCGCCUCAGCCUCCCAAAGUGCUAGGAUUACAGGCAUGAACCACCGUGCCCGGCCAGGAAUAAGCUUUUGACUUACCCAAUUCAGAUAGGUUGAUCUUUGGGGUUUUUUUUUUUUUUUUGAGAUGGAGUUUCGCUCUGUUGUCCAGGCUGGAGUGCAAUGGCAGUUGUUUCACCGUAACCUCUGCCUCCUGACUUCAAGCAAUUCUCCUGCCUCAGCCUCCCAAAGUGCUGGGAUUACAGGUGUGAGCCACCGUGCCCGGCCCAGAUAGGUUGAUCUUAAUGUAACAACCCAAAAAUAAAUGUCAUAGUCAAGAUUUGGUAGAUAAAUUUAAAAUUAAAAUAUUCUGCAGUUGGGAGUGAAAUGUGAUAGCACAUACGUUGACAUUAUGCAUUUAGAGAUGUUAUAAAAAUGUAUAGGCAGUAUACACAGCACUACUCAAGAAGCCAAAGAAACACUUGUGCAGUGCUAAGUGUCACAUGUCUGCUUCCACCAGAGGCUAGGAAUAGUGAUCCUGCUAUAAUGUGAGAACCCAAAUCAUGUUUAUAAAAUAGGACGCUGGGAGCAGUUGCAGGCCACAGUGAAGUGUGUUGCUUCUGUCACUUUAUAUUCUUAUAUUUCCUUUCCCUCAGACAGUAAACUGUUGAUACUCGUACUUGUAAAAAAUUGUAAGGCAAUUUUUAGUAUUGUUGUCAAAGAAAAGCUUGGAUUACAUUAACAUUUGUAUUCAGUCUUUUAGGUGAUACACCAGAGGGGGCUGGGAAUUGUCUCUUUGUUCCUAUAAGUAGAUCUUAAUGUAAAAUAGUAAAUGUCCAUUGAAAAGCAAGUAAUACAGCCUGUGCUAAUUGGGAGCACUUGAACAAUUUUGUUCCAUUCUGAGUAACUUUUGAGCAAGUAAUUCUAAGCUUUGUCUUGUAUCCUUGUGUGAAAUUGCAUAAUUUUUACCCUAUUUGAUUUCUUAAAUAAAGAUGUUUGCUCAAGAUCGUGGUAGUUUAAUA